rnacentral:rRNA from 1 species
GAUGAACGCUGGCGGCGUGCCUAAUACAUGCAAGUCGAGCGAACGGACGAGAAGCUUGCUUUUCUGAUGUUAGCGGCGGACGGGUGAGUAACACGUGGAUAACCUACCUAUAAGACUGGGAUAACUUCGGGAAACCGGAGCUAAUACCGGAUAAUAUUUUGAACCGCAUGGUUCAAAAGUGAAAGACGGUCUUGCUGUCACUUAUAGAUGGAUCCGCGCUGCAUUAGCUAGUUGGUAAGGUAACGGCUUACCAAGGCAACGAUGCAUAGCCGACCUGAGAGGGUGAUCGGCCACACUGGAACUGAGACACGGUCCAGACUCCUACGGGAGGCAGCAGUAGGGAAUCUUCCGCAAUGGGCGAAAGCCUGACGGAGCAACGCCGCGUGAGUGAUGAAGGUCUUCGGAUCGUAAAACUCUGUUAUUAGGGAAGAACAUAUGUGUAAGUAACUGUGCACAUCUUGACGGUACCUAAUCAGAAAGCCACGGCUAGCUACGUG